rnacentral:rRNA from 1 species
CCUACGGGAGGCAGCAGUGAGGAAUAUUGGUCAAUGGGCGAGAGUCUGAACCAGCCAAGUAGCGUGAAGGAUGACUGCCCUAUGGGUUGUAAACUUCUUUUAUAUGGGAAUAAAACGUUCCACGUGUGGGAUUUUGUAUGUACCAUAUGAAUAAGGAUCGGCUAACUCCGUGCCAGCAGCCGCGGUAAUACGGAGGAUCCGAGCGUUAUCCGGAUUUAUUGGGUUUAAAGGGAGCGUAGGUGGAUUGUUAAGUCAGUUGUGAAAGUUUGCGGCUCAACCGUAAAAUUGCAGUUGAAACUGGCAGUCUUGAGUACAGUAGAGGUGGGCGGAAUUCGUGGUGUAGCGGUGAAAUGCUUAGAUAUCACGAAGAACUCCGAUUGCGAAGGCAGUUCACUGGACUGCAACUGACACUGAGGCUCGAAAGUGUGGGUAUCAAACAGGAUUAGAUACCCCAGUAGUC